GUAUGAGUAGAUGUAUCCAGUCGUGGUCUCAACAGAUUGUUCCAUAUUUUUGACACAACUACUAUUCUUAUUGCUGUAAAAACGGGCGUUUACAUUUAUCUGUCUUAGAUUCUAAUCUGAAAUAAAUAUCUUUCAUUGUCUAGAGAGAAAUAAUCAUUGAUGUUUAUUAUUAUAUAUGUGUCAAUAAAAAAAUCUUAUCUAACUAUAUGCCAGAUUGUAUAAACAUACUUUGGUAUGUAAUUACUUAAAUAUUUUGUUUGAUUUCAGUAGCAAAAGAAGUACAUUGAUUGUAUUCUAAUUUGUUGGCUUUAGUUAACUUUUGUGAUUUAAAAUGAUUGUCUUAUUAACAUUGUUGAAGCAAUAAACAUAGCAUGUGAUGUGAGCAGCUGAACUAUGAUGUUGUAUAUCAUAGUUUCCACGUGUUCUUGUGUUGUGAUGUCUGGUAAGGGUAAUGGUGGACAUUUUUGACAAUAGUGGUGACAAGCCAAUAUCUUGGCUGCUACAAACUAGCACUAUGCCUACUAAGGCAUACAUUAGUGAUUAUAUUAGUUGUAUUAGUGAGGCUAGCUGCUCUACUUCAUAUCAUAAUUAUAUUCAGUAUUUGAUUGUUUGCAGUACCAUUAUAAUAUGUGAUUUUUCUAGUUUAAGUGAGAGAAUAUUUUUAUUGAUUUGUUCUGAGUGAGGGAAAUUAAAAUAGCUCGAAACUA